rnacentral:rRNA from 1 species
GACGAACGCUGGCGGCGUGCUUAACACAUGCAAGUCGAACGGAAAGGCCCUGCUUUUGUGGGGUGCUCGAGUGGCGAAAGGGUGAGUAACAAGUGAGUAACCUGCCCUUGACUUUGGGAUAACUUCAGGAAACUGGGGCUAAUACCGGAUAGGAGCUCCUGCUGCCUGGUGGGGGUUGGAAAGUUUCGGCGGUUGGGGAUGGACUCGCGGAUUAUCAGCUCGUUGGUGGGGUAGUGGCUUACCAAGGCUUUGACGGGUAGCCGGCCUGAGGGGGUGACCGGCCACAUUGGGACUGAGAUACGGCCCAGACUCCUACGGGAGGCAGCAGUGGGGAAUAUGGCGCAAUGGGGGGAAGCCUGAUGCAGCAACGCCGCGUGCGGGAUGACGGCCUUCUGGUUGUAAACCGCUUUCGCCGGUGACGAAGCGUGAGUGACGGUAAUGGGUAAAGAAGCACCGGCUAACUACGUG